GUUGGUGGGGUAACGGCCUACCAAGGCGAUUACGGGUAGCCGGCCUGAGAGGGCGACCGGCCACACUGGGACUGAGACACGGCCCAGACUCCUGCGGGAGGCAGCAGUGGGGAAUAUUGCGCAAUGGGCGAAAGCCUGACGCAGCGACGCCGCGUGGGGGAUGACGGCCUUCGGGUUGUAAACCUCUUUUACCACCAACGCAGGCUCGAAGUUCUCUUCGGGUUGACGGUAGGUGGGGAAUAAGGACCGGCUAACUACGUGCCAGCAGCCGCGGUAAUACGUAGGGUCCGAGCGUUGUCCGGAAUUAUUGGGCGUAAAGAGCUCGUAGGCGGCGUGUCACGUCUGCUGUGAAAGACCGGGGCUUAACUCCGGUUCUGCAGUGGAUACGGGCAUGCUAGAGGUAGGUAGGGGAGACUGGAAUUCCUGGUGUAGCGGUGAAAUGCGCAGAUAUCAGGAGGAACACCGGUGGCGAAGGCGGGUCUCUGGGCCUUACCUGACGCUGAGGAGCGAAAGCAUGGGGAGCGAACAGGAUUANAUACCCUGGUAGUCCAUGCCGUAAACGUUGGGCGCUANGUGUGGGGACUUUCCACGGUUUCCGCGCCGUANCUAACGCAUUAAGCGCCCCGCCNGGGGGAGUACGGCCGCAAGGCUAAAACUCAAANGAAUUGACGGGGGCCCGCACAANCGGCNGANCAUGUUNCUUANNUCNACGC
rnacentral:rRNA from 1 species